GGAGGGUGGGCAGGACGGUAAUGCGCUAGUCUUGAAAACUAGUGGGCGCAAGCCCUAAGAGGUUCGACCCCUCUACCCUCCG
rnacentral:tRNA from 1 species